rnacentral:rRNA from 1 species
UACGGAGGAUCCAAGCGUUAUCCGGAUUUAUUGGGUUUAAAGGGUGCGUAGGCGGAUUGAUAAGUUAGAGGUGAAAUGUCCGAGCUCAACUCGGGAACUGCCUCUAAUACUGUUGAUCUAGAGAGUAGAUGCGGUAGGCGGAAUGUAUGGUGUAGCGGAGAAAUGCUUAGAGAUCAUACAGAACACCGAUUGCGAAGGCAGCUUACCAAUCUAUAUCUGACGUUGAGGCACGAAAGCGUGGGGAGCAAACAGG